UACGUAGGGGGCAAGCGUUGUCCGGAAUCAUUGGGCGUGAAGCGCGUGUAGGCGGCUCGGUAAGUCUGCUGUGAAAGUCCAGGGCUCAACCCUGGGAUGCCGGUGGAUACUGUCGAGCUCGAGUCCGGAAGAGGCGAGUGGAAUUCCUGGUGUAGCGGUGAAAUGCGCAGAUAUCAGGAGGAACACCAAUGGCGAAGGCAGCUCGCUGGGACGUGACUGACGCUGAGACGCGAAAGCGUGGGGAGCAAACAGG
rnacentral:rRNA from 1 species